CCUACGGGAGGCAGCAGUGGGGGAUAUUGCACAAUGGGGGGAACCCUGAUGCAGCGACGCCGCGUGGGUGAAGGAGUGCUUCGGCAUGUAAAGCCCUAUCGGCAGGGAAGAAGCAAGACGGUUCCCUACUAAGAAGCCCCCGCCAACUACGUGCCAGCAGCCGCGGUAAUUCGUAGGGUGCGAGCGUUUGCCGGAUUCACUGGGGGUAAAGGGACCGUAGACGGGCAUGCAAGCUAGGGGUGAAAGCCCGGGGCCUAACCCCGGGACUGCCCUUGGAACUGUGCGGCUAGAGUGCGGGAGGGGCAGGCGGAAUUCCUGGUGUAGCGAUGAAAUGCGUAGAUAUCAGGAGGAACACCGGCGGCGAAGGCGGCCUGCUGGACUGCGACUGACGGUGAGGCUCGAAAGCGUGGGGAGCGAACAGGAUUAGAUACCCCGGUAGUC
rnacentral:rRNA from 1 species